rnacentral:lncRNA from 10 species
GACUUGACCUUCUGUGUCUCCGGGAUCCCACAGUUGCAUAGACUUGGUGAGAGACUAAUAUGAAACAAAUGUGUACUAGAAAUAUAUUUUCUAAGCAAGCUCUCUUCCUGAGGAGCUGGGGAAGAGAUUAAAUCCUUUUCUGCCUGCAUUCAACAUGGAUCUCCUGAAUGGUGGUUGGCUGCCAAGCACUGUCUUGGACCUGGACAGACAAAGAUGCAAAGACAGUGCUCCAGUUCUCUAAGGAAUUGUGGUCUGUGGAGUCAGAAGGAUAUUUACAUUGGCAUGGAAUGCAUUUUCUAGUAUGUCUGUAACCAUGACUUCAAGAAACUGUGGUCUGAAGUUGACUCUGCUGCAG